rnacentral:tRNA from 1 species
GGGUCGGUGCCUGAGUGGUUAAUGGGGGCGGACUGUAAAUCCGCUGGCGAUGCCUACGUUGGUUCAAAUCCAACCCGGCCCA